rnacentral:lncRNA from 1 species
UGCCCUUACUGCAUUGCUCUAUCAGAGAUUUUGUGAGAUAUUCAGGGAGAGGAAAGGCCUGUGCAUGCUCCUGCCCUUGAAAGCUGCCCCAUCCUACUGUGAUGUCAUAAUUGGAGCUACAGCCAGAGAUGUGAACUCCAACAACCCCUGACCCAGGCCAGCCUCCCACACAUUUUCAUCACCUACUCAUACGCCAUGCCUGGGGCUUCUGCUUCCAUCCUACCAUCACGUGAGGCGGCUAGCAUCUGUGUGAGCUUUAUCUCAAAACAUCUCAUGUAUGUACUUGCUCCCUUGCUUUUACCUCUCCCCCUGGACCAUCAGCUCCAUAAGAAGGGGACUCUGUCUGCAUUGUUCAUGCAACAGACCCAGCACACCACAGCAUUUCAUUCGCAGGCCCUCGCUCACCAGGAGAUUAACCCGUCAGGCUGCUGCGUGAGAAGGGACAGAGCAGCUCCUUACAGGAGGCCCAUGACAGGGGGGAAAUCAAAACAAAUCCACCUGCUGAAAGAAGACGUUGAGGACGGCAGCCUCAGAGUGCGGUGACCUCGUCCUCCUCCGGACAUCUGUAGGCAGUGUUAUCAUGGCCACUGAUAUGGCACUGGGCUGUUUAUGACUUCCUGAUGACACUAUUUUUCACGACUGUGUUUGCACUGUUGUUUAACAACUUUGUGUAACUGUGUCCUCUCAUUCUGAAUAAACCAUAGUUCCUGGAAGGCCAGGAAUGGCCUUGAUGUAUUUAUCUUGGCUUCUGAAAUGUUUGGGGAAGGGCUGGGGGGUUGCUUUCUGGGCUUUUGUUGUUUUGUUUUUGAAACUUAUCUGCCAUGCAUCAGUACUUAGGAUUGACUAGGAUAGAAAUGAAAUAUUACAGAGAUAAGUGUGUUUAAAUGCUUAGUCUUCGAUUUUGUACUUAUCUUGUCACAGAUUGGCAACACGUAAUGUGCCACCUCACACCCACCUGUGACCUAUGGUUGGAGGAGCACUAGAUCAGAACACCUGGCAUCCCAGGUCAAUGUGGAACACACUGAUGUCUCCUCUAUCUGCAAUUGCUGAUUUAACAUACAGUAUACGCAUAUUUGUGAGUACCUGGGUAUAUACCAAAUUUCUAUCAUACACAUUUACAUGAUACAUUUAUACCAAAUAUACGUGUGCACACACACAUUCAAAUUAAAUUAUACUUUAUAAUAUACAUGUACAUAAAUAUAUGGGGUAAUAAAAUUUCCUACCCAGAUAUGGUAUUUCUCAUACCUAGGAAAAAUAACACAUUUGCAAGCUG